rnacentral:tRNA from 1 species
GCGCGCUUAGCUCAGUGGUAGAGCAUCUCGUUUACACCGAGGCGGUCGGGGGUUCGAAACCCUCAGCGCGCA